UUCUCAAAUGUACAGAAAAUGAGGUACUAGUGCUCAGAAGCCCUCUGCCCAUUCAUCUGCCCCAGUUGCAAUUUUGAAGAGUGAAAUUCUCCACUAAAAAGCUGUGAGCUGGAAAUGUGACUUAUUCACCACUAAACUUCCAGUGCCUACACACUGCCUGGCACAUAAAGUAAGUGUGCUGCCAGUCUCCUUACCUGCACUCAUGGCAGACAUCAGUAAUUGACCCCAGCACUCUUCCCCUUCAAGCCUGGGUGAAAUCUCAGAGUCCUUCUUAAAGCUGUGUGACUGAUCAGUGGGUGUUUGUGCUCUAAAUGAGACCUAUUUGCCAUCCUGGUGGUGGGUGUUCAGUAAAUGUUUGUUGUAUGGUUGGGUGAGUAAAUGAAUAAUCGUUUUUCUAAUGCCUGAGUCAGAAACCAACACAGGGCCUUGCGCUGUGUACAAACUCCAUAAAUAUGUGUUGACUGGAUGGGUGGGUGAGUGAGUGUGACAGCGAGGCAAGUGUCAAGGAAAGGUGACCUUCUGGCAUAUUAGCGCAUUAUUGAACCGGGGCAAAGCUGAGGGACUUGUUUCUCUCAAAGCAUGAGUUUUUAUUCCUGACACAUCCAUUUUGUGCCUUUCUCACCACAGGAUACAAUGCAGGCCCUGGACAUUGUACAUGAGCCCCUCAUGCCUUGGUCUUGCUCCGCCACCAGAGCCUCGCCUCUCCUCCAUCAUUGAGACCUCCUGACACACCAGUCUAUGGCUCCUGGCGUAGACCCAGGACUUUUCUGCCUCUGUGCCUUGGAAUAAGCCCUUCAUCCUUUGCCAUCAGCAUGGCUUGCCAAGCGGUGCCAUGUCUUCACCUGG